GAUGAACGCUGGCGGCGUGCUUAACACAUGCAAGUCGAACGGGAAACCUUUUAUUGAAGCUUCGGCAGAUUUAGAUUGUUUCUAGUGGCGGACGGGUGAGUAACGCGUGGGUAACCUGCCUUAUACAGGGGGAUAACAGUCAGAAAUGACUGCUAAUACCGCAUAAGCGCACAGAGCUGCAUGGCUCGGCGUGAAAAACUCCGGUGGUAUAAGAUGGACCCGCGUUGGAUUAGCUAGUUGGUGAGGUAACGGCCCACCAAGGCGACGAUCCAUAGCCGGCCUGAGAGGGUGAACGGCCACAUUGGGACUGAGACACGGCCCAGACUCCUACGGGAGGCAGCAGUGGGGAAUAUUGCACAAUGGGGGAAACCCUGAUGCAGCGACGCCGCGUGAAGGAAGAAGUAUCUCGGUAUGUAAACUUCUAUCAGCAGGGAAGAAAAUGACGGUACCUGACUAAGAAGCCCCGGCUAACUACGUGCCAGCAGCCGCGGUAAUACGUAGGGGGCAAGCGUUAUCCGGACUUACUGGGUGUAAAGGGAGCGCAGCGGUUAGAUAGUCUGAUGUGAAAGGCUGUGGCUCAACCCCGGGACUGCUUUGGAAACUGUUUAACCUGAGUGCAGAAGGGGAGAGUGGAAUUCCAUGUGUAGCGGUGAAAUGCGUAGAUAUAUGGAGGAACACCGGUGGCGAAAGCGGCUCUCUGGUCUGUAACUGACGCUGAGGCUCGAAAGCGUGGGGAGCAAACAGGAUUAGAUACCCGGGUAGUCCACGCCGUAAACGAUGAGUGCUAGGUGUUAGGCCCUUUCCGGGGCUUAGUGCCGCAGCUAACGCAUUAAGCACUCCGCCUGGGGAGUACGACCGCAAGGUUGAAACUCAAAGGAAUUGACGGGGGCCCGCACAAGCGGUGGAGCAUGUGGUUUAAUUCGAAGCAACGCGAAGAACCUUACCAGGUCUUGACAUCCCUCUGACCGCUCUAGAGAUAGAGUUUUCCCUUCGGGACAGAAGUGACAGGUGGUGCAUGGUUGUCGUCAGCUCGUGUCGUGAGAUGUUGGGUUAAGUCCCGCAACGAGCGCAACCCCUAUCCUCAGUAGCCAGCAUUUAAGGUGGGCACUCUGGGGAGACUGCCAGGGAUAACCUGGAGGAAGGCGGGGAUGACGUCAAAUCAUCAUGCCCCUUAUGAUUUGGGCUACACACGUGCUACAAUGGCGUAAACAAAGGGAAGCGAACCUGCGAGGGUGGGCAAAUCCCAAAAAUAACGUCCCAGUUCGGACUGUAGUCUGCAACCCGACUACACGAAGCUGGAAUCGCUAGUAAUCGCGGAUCAGAAUGCCGCGGUGAAUACGUUCCCGGGUCU
rnacentral:rRNA from 1 species